rnacentral:rRNA from 1 species
CAAUAGCGUAUAUUUAAGUUGCUGCAGUUAAAAGCUCGUAGUUGGAUUUCGGGUGGGAAUGGCCGGUCCGCCGUUUCGGUGUGCACUUGCUACGCCCACCUUGCUGCCGGGGACGUGCUCUUGAGUUCACGCUCGGGACACGGAGUCGGCGAGGUUACUUUGAGUAAAUUAGAGUGUUCAAAGCAGGCCUACGCUCUGAAUACAUUAGCAUGGUAUAACACGAUAGGACUCUGGCCUAUCUUGUUGGUCUGUAGGACCGGAGUAAUGAUUAAGAGGGACAGUCGGGGGCAUUCGUAUUUCAUUGUCAGAGGUGAAAUUCUUGGAUUUAUGAAAGACGAACUACUGCGAAAGCAUUUGCCAAGGAUGUUCUCAUUAA